rnacentral:rRNA from 1 species
AAACUUCGCAAUGUGCGCAAGCACGACGAGGGAAUCCUAAGUGCCUAUGCUUUGCAUAGGCUGUUCUCCUGUCUAAAAAACAGGGGGAGUAAGGGCUGGGUAAGACCGGUGCCAGCCGCCGGUAACACCGGCGGCCCGAGUGGUAACCGUCUUUAUUGGGUUUAAAGGGUCCGUAGCCGGCUUAUUAAGUCUUUUGGGAAAUCUGGCGGCUCAAUCGUCAGGCGUCCAAGAGAUACUGGUAGGCUUGGGACCGGGAGAGGUGGG